rnacentral:ncRNA from 1 species
GUCCAAGUUACUAAGGGCGCAUGGUGGAUGCCUUGGUAUCUGGAGGCGACGAAGGGCGUGGUAGGCUGCGUUAUGCGUCGGGUAGGUGCGAACAACCUUUGACCCGGCGAUGCCCGAAUGGGGAAACCCAUCCCGAAGCAAUUCGGGAUAUUUUGUCGCAAGACAGAAGGUUAACCAGGGGAAGUGAAACAUCUCAGUACCCUGAGGAAGAGAUAUUCCGAAAGUAGCGGCGAGCGAAAUCGGAACAGCCUAAACCGACCUGCAUGUUCAAGCGAGCAAGCCUUGUGCAGACGGUGUAGUGGGGCUCAGUUGAACUCAAUUUGCUCUGAGAGUUGUGAAGUUACAAAAUCUUGGGAUAAUUGAAAUUUCCUGGAAAGGAAUACCAUAGAUGGUGACAGUCCAGUAGAUGAAAUUCCGAGAUCUUCAUUGACUGAGUUCCCAAGUACUGCGAGGUAGUUACUUCGUGGGAAUCUGCCCAAACCACUGGGUAAGGCUAAAUACUCCCAGAUGACCGAUAGCGGACAAGUACCGUGAGGGAA